rnacentral:lncRNA from 1 species
AUAAAUAAAGUAGAAAGGGGGCGACAAGGCUGCAAGGACCCAAAGAACAAGGGUAAGCGCCAACGCUCAAGGAGUCCAGAUUCAGACACUGACCACAAAAGAAGGGUAAUUAACUUAAUCUUCGGUGGAGGAUCGGUAGGAGAAAGCAGAAGUUACUCGCGCAAAGUGAUGCAGACAACAGCGGUACCAAAAUCUAAAAAAAGAUCGUACCCAAGCGAGGAAAUAAGCUUCUCUGAGGAAGAUCUGGACAACGUGGUCAGCCCACACGAGGAUCCACUAGUAAUACAAGUGGAUAUAGGGGAUGACUUAAGUCUGAACAAAGUAAUGG